rnacentral:rRNA from 1 species
GACAGAGGUGCCGAGCGUUAGGCGGAAUCACUGGGCUUAAAGCGUGUGUAGGCGGGCGGGCAAGUACCUUGUGAAAUCCCACGGCUCAACCGUGGAACGGCCGGGUAUACUGCCUGUCUUGAGCCAGCUAGGGGCGAGCGGAACAGACGGUGGAGCGGUGAAAUGCGUAGAUAUCGUCUGGAACGCCGAAGGUGAAAACAGCUCGCUGGGGCUGUGCUGACGCUGAGACACGAAAGCCAGGGGAGCGAACGGG